AUGAAUCCGUCGUCGCCUUUAUCUUUUAGUCCUUUGAAGAGCCUUGAGAAUGGAAAUCAUGAGAGAUUUUUCCAUGGGGGAAGUUCUUUUUACGAGACGUUUAUUCAGAUUGAUUUCUCGGCACCCCGCGGGGCGGGCAACGGGCGGGGCUUCCAGUGCACCUUCUGCGCAGUGGAGCCGCGGAGGCUCAGCUGGACAGUGGUCGGGUCGUGGGGCUGGAGGGCGGGAGCGGGGGAAGGGAAAAGCAAAAGCGGGGAAAGAAGCCGGAGAGCGGUGGACCAGACAUCUAGACCUGAAAGGCUCGUGCGGAGGCAGAGGCGGGAUCUUCCGGAGGUACACGUUCCGUGCCUUCUUCUGGGCGCUAUAGGAAGGGUGCACUCAGCAAACUCCCCAUCCCCUCAAUCUUCAGGGGCCCUCCUGGCAGGACGACUGUGCAAGUUCCAGGUCCUUGGAAAACCGGAGAGAUUAGAGCGGUGAAUUGUAGUGUUGGACACCUGCGCGUUGGGAUAUUCUAGAGCACGAAGGACAGCCGAAUGGCCUUCGCCCGCGCUGCCCCUCGCCUGCUUCAGAAGCCCGAGGAAACGCCCCCGUCCGCGACCCGAGCCGCCGCCUCCAGGCUCAGGGGAAACUGAACGCCCGGUGGGCUCCUGGGCUGCAUCUUCGCGUUCUUUGCGCCGCCUUCACCCACUGAGGGAGCCUGUGCCCACCUUGCCCAGUCGCUUUCGGGGCCGCUGCGGAGCUUCCGCUGCCAUCUUCGGAUCCUGUGUCCCGCACGGGGGCUCCACCAGGGCAGGGAUGAUGGUGAGGGUCGCUCGUGGGUGCCCUCGCGGGAAACAGGGUAUGACACUCACCAGAGUGCACGACUAGGACUUGAAUUAAUCCAUCGUCGCAUUCAGUUUUUAGUCU
rnacentral:lncRNA from 1 species